CCUACGGGAGGCAGCAGUGAGGAAUAUUGGUCAAUGGGCUUACGCCUGAACCAGCCAAGUCGCGUGAGGGAAGACUGCCCUAUGGGUUGUAAACCUCUUUUGUCAGGGAGCAACGCCGGCUACGUGUAGCCGGACUGAGAGUACCUGCAGAAAAAGCAUCGGCUAACUCCGUGCCAGCAGCCGCGGUAAUACGGAGGAUGCGAGCGUUAUCCGGAUUUAUUGGGUUUAAAGGGUGCGUAGGCGGAAUGCCAAGUCAGCGGUAAAAUCGCGGGGCUCAACCUCGCUCCGCCGUUGAAACUGGCGGUCUUGAGUGGGCGAGAAGUAUGCGGAAUGCGUGGUGUAGCGGUGAAAUGCAUAGAUAUCACGCAGAACUCCGAUUGCGAAGGCAGCAUACCGGAGCACAACUGACGCUGAAGCACGAAAGCGUGGGUAUCGAACAGGAUUAGAUACCCUGGUAGUC
rnacentral:rRNA from 1 species